UACGUAGGGGGCAAGCGUUGUCCGGAUUUAUUGGGCGUAAAGAGCGUGUCGGCGGCCAGACAGGUCCGUUGUGAAAACUCGAGGCUCAACCUCGAGAUGUCGAUGGAAACCGUCUGGCUAGAGUCCGGAAGAGGAGUGUGGAAUUCCUGGUGUAGCGGUGAAAUGCGCAGAUAUCAGGAAGAACACCUAUGGCGAAGGCAGCACUCUGGGACGGUACUGACGCUGAGACGCGAAAGCGUGGGGAGCGAACAGG
rnacentral:rRNA from 1 species